rnacentral:misc_RNA from 1 species
CAACACUCAAGCUCAGCUUGGUCUUGAGCCUAGCCGGCCACGGCAGGCUUUAAAGUCAGUGGCGGUGCCGCCUGGCUCUAAGCGUAGUAAUACUCCUCGCUAUUGAGUCCUGGUGGACGCUGGCCAAGUAAUCCCCAACUUUCUAA